CCUAGGUGAAAAACUUCAGGAUAGAGCUAUAUAUUGUGCACAACUGCAUUUAAAAACAAAAAGGUCUGUAUAGCUCCAUUGCUCGAAACUGUCUUAGCACAAACUAGAGCUAUAGUGAAGUAGAUAGUGCAGACUUGGGCAGCUACAUUGUUAUACUCAUUCAGUUGGUUGAGAAGUACUGCCUUGUCAAUCCAUGUAAUCAAAGCUACACCAAGAAAACAAAAGACCUUGUUUUGGUGCUUCAUCGUUUGAUUGGCAAUGGCCUUAACCUACACAAGACACUAACCUAUUAUCCAAACAAUAAUGUCAGAUUAGACACUAACUUAUUAUCCAAACAAUGCAGUAAUAGUUUCUUUAUUUAUCUCAUGUCCCAUGUUUAUCUCAUGACUAUCGGUCUUCAUUGCCAAAUGUGCAAAUCUAAAACCAAGAAAUUGUGUUAGCAAGAAUGAAACAAUGGCUAUUUCUUGCUAGUACAUUAAAAUUACAACGAUGCAGCAAAUAAAAAUGAAAACUAGUUUUAGCAAAGGGUUAUGGCACUGUGCAAGGUGCCAUGCUCAAUCACACUAUUGGUUGCUACUCCUACAUUGGACUGAUGCAUCAAGGCAAACUAAAGAUAAGUUUCAGUACUGAAUGUAGUUAAAACUAAAGAUUAGUUAUUCAGCGGAUGGCAAUGCCGUGUUGGAUUAGGCGCGCGUUUCCUUGAGCUAUUAGCCCAUAAUUCGAUUGGGACCGCCCCCACGGUCUUUAAGUGACACUACUGAGGCAGUUUCCCAAGCUCUCACAAUCAUUGAGCCAUUCAACUUAUUAUUUUCCAGAAAACAUUUUUAUCUGCAUCAUAACAGUACUUCUUGCAUUUAAAUUUACUGAUGAGUUUAUUUGCAUUAUUAGCUCAUAGCAUUAUUAGGCUCCUUUACAUAGUCAAGAGCAAAGGAUAAAUCAAAUUCUUAAUGAUCAAUGUGUGCCCCCAAACUAAAUAGAUGAUUGCAAUGCUUUAAUUAGUUAUGAUGGUCCCCCUUGCAGCAAUAUAUAAUAAUGGAAAAAUCUCUUUAUACAACAUCGUUAUGCUAUUAUAAACUUUGUGUUUAGGAACUGAUUGCAUAAAUGUAUGCCUAGACCAUCCAAGUUGAACCUUUUGUCGAGGUGAAUCUUGGUGCAUAUUUCUUCUCUUAAACAAAAACUCAACUAGUCCCUUAGAGAAACAUAGAUUACUAUGCUUUGAUAGUUGAAGAGUUGAUUAUUACUAAUUAAAAAGAAUGCUAUGUUGCAAUAAUAUGGUGAUUUGGUGUUCAACACCGAACAUGAAAGG
rnacentral:lncRNA from 1 species